rnacentral:rRNA from 1 species
ACGGGUGAGUAACACGUAGGCAACCUGCCCUCAAGCUUGGGACAACUACCGGAAACGGUAGCUAAUACCGAAUACUUGUUUUCUUCGCCUGAAGGAAACUGGAAAGACGGAGCAAUCUGUCACUUGAGGAUGGGCCUGCGGCGCAUUAGCUAGUUGGUGAGGUAACGGCUCACCAAGGCGACGAUGCGUAGCCGACCUGAGAGGGUGAUCGGCCACACUGGGACUGAGACACGGCCCAGACUCCUACGGGAGGCAGCAGUAGGGAAUCUUCCGCAAUGGGCGAAAGCCUGACGGAGCAAUGCCGCGUGAGUGAUGAAGGUUUUCGGAUCGUAAAGCUCUGUUGCCAGGGAAGAACGCUUAGGAGAGUAACUGCUCCUGAGGUGACGGUACCUGAGAAGAAAGCCCCGGCUAACUACGUGCCAGCAGCCGCGGUAAUACGUAGGGGGCAAGCGUUGUCCGGAAUUAUUGGGCGUAAAGCGCGCGCAGGCGGUCAUUUAAGUCUGGUGUUUAAUCCCGGGGCUCAACCCCGGAUCGCACUGGAAACUGGGUGACUUGAGUGCAGAAGAGGAGAGUGGAAUU